GGACAUGAGGGAAAACUGGCUGUGACAUCUGCCAACACCUUGGUUUCCACAGUGAUACAGAUGGUCUGAGGUGAUCUCUGGUCUCCCUCACCACCACAUUCAUGUCCCUUCCAAAGUUACCUGCUUGUUCAAAGGAAUGACCUUCUGAAAGUGGACCAGUCAAGAAAGGUAUUUUAAAAACUGUCUUCUCUUGCUAUAAUUUCUAGACAUGCUCAAAAUGUAUUCAGAUAUCUAAAUCUGUAGAAGAGGUAUCCAAACUUUUGCUAUGGGUUGAUUCCUUUACCUGGAAGCUGAACUAGC
rnacentral:snRNA from 1 species